UGAAAAAUACUGUUAAUGAAAACAAGUGUUCUAGAAUUGUUUGUGUUCGAUUAUGAGAAAACAUGAUCGAUUGCUUGGUCGUUUAGUCACUGCGACCAAUCUUCGAUUAUUUCAAUUAAUCGAACCACCCCCAGUGGUAAUUCUCCACCACCCUGUUACACCAAGGUAUCUUCGCGCAACAUAAUUCAUAAGCCUAUGUCAAAGUGUUGGAGUGGUGAUCACCUUAGCAAUAUGGGUGUACUCCUGGUUUCCCAACAUUUGGAAACUUAAGUAAACAGAGGGAUUAGAGGAUUAAGAACUGUGGGACACACUCACAUUUAUUGUAGGGGUGACAUUUUGGAGAUGGUGACUCAAACAUAACAAAUCGGAGUGGAUUGUUAAGUAGUUGUGUAUUACAUCUCUGACACUGUAUCAUCAUUCAACAUCAAUCAACAUCAUUCAACAUCAAUCACAUCAUUCAACAUCAAUCACAUCCCAUAAUUUUAUUUUAACCUUUCUUUUGGCCAUCUAAAUCACUGUUAUUGGUUUAUUUCGGCGUGGUCGAAAAUAGGACUAUAUAAAUCUUUUGAAAAAAGAUGCAUUUCACCUAAAUAUGAAUGCAUUUGAGAAUUCCUUUUCGUGAAUUGCAUAAAGCUAUGUUGUUAUUGUUAAGCUUUCUUGUAAAGUAAUACCUUCUAACAAUCUUUGAUAGAUAUACAUCAAGUUUGGUGAACACAUUUCAGUUUGACGCAAAUUAAGCAGUCCAACCUGACACCCCUACCAAGUGUGUGCCCAUACUAAUCCUUCUAUUGUCCUAUGCCUGGCUGAUUUUGUUGGUUUAAGAAAUGUUGGGAAACCAGGGGCACCCCAGCAAUAUGUGUUCCACUAUUUGAUGGGCGAGACUUACAAUGCUUCACUGGACAUGGUCUAGAGUAUUUUGAAACUUGCAUAAAUCCAUGAAAAGUACAUCACAUAACGAUCAAGGAGGUUCACAUGGCAUGUGAAGUUACAUGCUGAAUUAAAAUUUAUAUGCUGCAUGCAGUCAUCAUUUAGGUAAUAUGUUUUAGACAUCUUCCUGUCAGAAUGUAAACUGGUCCACUUGUUGCCAAUUUAGCAAUAAAAAGUAAUAAAUG